rnacentral:rRNA from 1 species
UACGAAGGGGGCUAGCGUUGUUCGGAAUCACUGGGCGUAAAGGGCGCGUAGGCGGCCGAUCAAGUCGGGGGUGAAAGCCUGUGGCUCAACCACAGAAUUGCCUUCGAUACUGUUUGGCUUGGGACCGGAAGAGGUUAGUGGAACUGCGAGUGUAGAGGUGAAAUUCGUAGAUAUUCGCAAGAACACCAGUGGCGAAGGCGGCUGACUGGUCCGGUUCUGACGCUGAGGCGCGAAAGCGUGGGGAGCAAACAGG